GGUACCUAGUAAGUACUUUUCACCGAGCCCUAACCAUUCCUGACACUAGUAGCAAGGGUGAACCGCUGUAGAGCAUCGUUUUAAAACCACACCUGGACAGGUUUGUUUUUUUUGUAGCUAGAAGAAAUGCCUUGCUCCACCCCUGCACUAUGCGGUUGAGCAAGAUCCUGAGUUUUUUUUUCGCUCUUUUUUUUUUGUAUCACUGCGAUCUAGGCUAUCGAAAACGUUUUCUUCCCUCUCGACACUGCUGAGGUCCCUAUUAUAACCCGAGACUUCGCUUUGAAGGCUCACUGGGACAUCUCAGCUAAGUGCGAGCGAGAGUGAGGAGUCUCUCCUUCCCUUGGUUCCGGCAAAGCAGGCAGGAAAGCCUGCGUGAGUCAGCCUCGCCAUGAACUGGGCAUUCCUUCAGGGCCUCCUCAGCGGGGUCAACAAAUACUCCACGGCGUUUGGCCGCGUGUGGCUCUCCAUCGUCUUCCUCUUCCGCGUCAUGGUGUUCGUGGUGGCCGCCGAGAAGGUGUGGGGCGACGAGCAGAAGGACUUCAAGUGCAACACGGCGCAGCCGGGCUGCCACAACGUGUGCUACGACCACUUCUUCCCCGUGUCCCAUGUGCGCCUGUGGGCCCUGCAGCUCAUCUUCGUCACCUGCCCCUCGCUGCUGGUGGUCAUGCACGUGACCUACCGCGAGGAGCGGGAGAAGAAGAACAAGGCGAAGCACGGCGAGAACUGCCGCCGCCUGUACGCCAACCCGGGCAAGAAGCGCGGCGGCCUGUGGUGGACCUACGUCCUGACGCUGGUGUUCAAGAUCGGCGUGGACACGGUGUUCGUGUACCUCAUCUACUACAUGUACGAGGGCUACGACUUCCCCUCGCUCGUCAAGUGCGUGGAGGCGCCGUGCCCCAACACGGUGGACUGCUUCAUCGCGCGGCCCACCGAGAAGCGCAUCUUCACCCUGUUCAUGGUGGUCACCAGCAUGGUGUGCAUCCUGCUCUCCAUCUUUGAGAUCGUGUACCUGGUGGGCAAGAAGUGCCGCGAGGGCGUGGUGAAGCUGCACGACCAGCACCGCUCGCACCAGAACCAGCAGGCCAGGGACUUGGGCCCCUCGCUGGCGGGGGGCAAGAGCGGGAACCUGGUGGAGGCCAACACUCUGAGGCUGGUGGAGAAGGUUCAACCCGGCACGCCUGCGCCGUCGUACAGUGUGGCCGUCGCUUCGGACGAGGUCACCCCCAGAUGAGGAGGGCUCGUCACCCGCAUGAGGAGGUCACCCCCGUCAUGAGAGGGUCACCCACCCAUGAGGAGGUCACCCCCGUCAUGAGAGGGUCACCCCCCCAUGAGGAGGUCCCCCUGUCAUGAGAGGGUCCCCCCAAUAUGAGGAGGUCACGCCCACAUGAGGAGGUCAACCCCCCAUGAGGAGCUGGGUGCACUGCAGGUCUUUUCUGGGACGAUGGACUCCAGGGGGGGUGGCAGGAAACACUACAGAUCAGUCUUUCUUGAGGGCGGAUGGCCCCUUCGGUCCACUGCAAUCCACACCUCUAAACUUCUCCCUGUCCCGCCUUUUGACAAUGGCACCGGCUACUGUUGCUGUAGUGUUGUUAUGCGCAUUAGCCUCCCGAUGAAUGUUCUGGACUACGGGAGGAUGGCGCGGUUGUAAUGUAAGCCAUCAUCAGGGAUACAGAUUCUUUAAAGGUUGAGUUGGUUUCAUGUUUACAGACAAGGUUCCAUAACCGUGGAAUAAAAAUACCAAGUUGGUGCGAAAGGAGAGUUGUAGUAUUCGAUCAAAAUGAAAUUUCAAAAGUGGAGUCUGAUUAAAAAUGUUCCUUCCUAUAAAUGCAAUCACUCGUUGCCAUAUCUUAAACGAUACAUUUAUGUUUUUCUGUUACCAGGGCUGUUUUUGUUCGAGGCCAACAGGCUACAAUUUCUUACUGAUGGUUCACACACACACACACACACACACACACACACACACACACACACACACACACACACACACACACACACACACACACACACACACACACACACACACACACACACACACACACACACACACACACACACA